GGCCGGUUAGCUCAGCUGGUUAGAGCGUGGUGCUAAUAAUGCCAAGGUCAUGGGUUCAAUCCCCAUACUGGCUA